rnacentral:lncRNA from 1 species
CGGGCGCUGUCAUAGCAGCCUCAGGGUAACGCUCUGGCCUCCGUGGCACUGACUGUCCCUCGGCUGGCAUGUACCAGUGCCUUGUUCUACGGUGAUGUCUCACGGGGCAUGUCCUGUCAUCUGGUGUCCAGCAGAGUUGAGCAUCUCAGAGCAUGUAACCUCCGCAAACCGGCUUUCUCACAGCCUUCCGGGGAGGCGGGGAUGGACGAGAAUCAAAUGCUUGUUGUCGUCUUAAGAUUUUUGCUUUUAACUGAGUGCAUAUGUGUGUGUCUGGGUGCCGGUAUGCA